UACGAAGGGGGCGAGCGUUGUUCGGAUUUACUGGGCGUAAAGGGCGCGCAGGCGGCGCAUUUUGUCAGGCGUGAAAGCCCCGGGCUUAACCUGGGAACUGCGUUUGAUACGGAUGGGCUAGAGUUCGGGAGAGGAGAGUGGAAUUCCCAGUGUAGAGGUGAAAUUCGUAGAUAUUGGGAAGAACACCGGUGGCGAAGGCAGCUCUCUGGUACAUGAUUGACGCUGAGACGCGAAAGCGUGGGGAGCGAACAGG
rnacentral:rRNA from 1 species